rfam:Flavobacterium sp. FPG59 Contig_206, whole genome shotgun sequence.
UACUUUUGCACCCGUCUACCAAUAGAUGGCAGACAUACAUAAGAAUCAUUAAAUAAUAUUGGAAUG